UCAGGAUGAACGCUGGCGGCGUGCUUAACACAUGCAAGUCGAACGAUGAUCCCAGCUUGCUGGGGGAUUAGUGGCGAACGGGUGAGUAACACGUGAGUAACCUGCCCUUGACUCUGGGAUAAGCCUGGGAAACUGGGUCUAAUACCGGAUAUGACUCCUCAUCGCAUGGUGGGGGGUGGAAAGCUUUUGUGGUUUUGGAUGGACUCGCGGCCUAUCAGCUUGUUGGUGGGGUAAUGGCCUACCAAGGCGACGACGGGUAGCCGGCCUGAGAGGGUGACCGGCCACACUGGGACUGAGACACGGCCCAGACUCCUACGGGAGGCAGCAGUGGGGAAUAUUGCACAAUGGGCGCAAGCCUGAUGCAGCGACGCCGCGUGAGGGAUGACGGCCUUCGGGUUGUAAACCUCUUUCAGUAGGGAAGAAGCGAAAGUGACGGUACCUGCAGA
rnacentral:rRNA from 1 species